GACGAACGCUGGCGGCGUGCUUAACACAUGCAAGUCGAACGGAAAGGCCCUGCUUUUGUGGGGUGCUCGAGUGGCGAACGGGUGAAUAACACGUGAGUAACCUGCCCUUGACUUUGGGAUAACUUCAGGAAACUGGGGCUAAUACCGGAUAGGAGCUCCUGCUGCAUGGUGGGGGUUGGAAAGUUUCGGCGGUUGGGGAUGGACUCGCGGCUUAUCAGCUUGUUGGUGGGGUAGGGGCUUACCAAGGCUUUGACGGGUAGCCGGCCUGAGGGGGUGACCGGCCACAUUGGGACGGAGAUACGGCCCAGCCUCCUACGGGAGGAAGCAGUGGGGAAUAUUGCACAAGGGGCGGAAGCCUGAGGCAGCAACGCCGCGUGCGGGAUGACGGCCUUCGGGUUGUAAACCGCUUUCGCCUGUGACGAAGCGUGAGUGACGGUAAUGGGUAAAGAAGCACCGGCUAACUACGUG
rnacentral:rRNA from 1 species